rnacentral:rRNA from 1 species
UUUGGGUUGUAAACCUCUUUUGUGAGGGAAGAUAAUGACGGUACCCUACGAAUAAGGUCCGGCUAACUUCGUGCCCGCCGCCGCGGUAAUAUAAU